rnacentral:rRNA from 1 species
CGCUAGCUACAGGCUUAACACAUGCAAGUCGAGGGGCAGCAUGGUCUUAGCUUGCUAAGGCCGAUGGCGACCGGCGCACGGGUGAGUAACACGUAUCCAACCUGCCGUCUACUCUUGGACAGCCUUCUGAAAGGAAGAUUAAUACAAGAUGGCAUCAUGAGUUCACAUGUUCACAUGAUUAAAGGUAUUCCGGUAGACGAUGGGGAUGCGUUCCAUUAGAUAGUAGGCGGGGUAACGGCCCACCUAGUCUUCGAUGGAUAGGGGUUCUGAGAGGAAGGUCCCCCACAUUGGAACUGAGACACGGUCCAAACUCCUACGGGAGGCAGCAGUGAGGAAUAUUGGUCAAUGGGCGAGAGCCUGAACCAGCCAAGUAGCGUGAAGGAUGACUGCCCUAUGGGUUGUAAACUUCUUUUAUAAAGGAAUAAAGUCGGGUAUGCAUACCCGUUUGCAUGUACUUUAUGAAUAAGGAUCGGCUAACUCCGUGCCAGCAGCCGCGGUAAUACGGAGGAUCCGAGCGUUAUCCGGAUUUAUUGGGUUUAAAGGGAGCGUAGAUGGAUGUUUAAGUCAGUUGUGAAAGUUUGCGGCUCAACCGUAAAAUUGCAGUUGAUACUGGAUAUCUUGAGUGCAGUUGAGGCAGGCGGAAUUCGUGGUGUAGCGGUGAAAUGCUUAGAUAUCACGAAGAACUCCGAUUGCGAAAGCAGCCUGCUAAGCUGCAACUGACAUUGAGGCUCGAAAGUGUGGGUAUCAAACAGGAUUAGAUACCCUGGUAGUCCACACGGUAAACGAAGAAUACUCGCUGUUU